AGAGUUUGAUCCUGGCUCAGGAUGAACGCUGGCGGCGUGCCUAACACAUGCAAGUCGAACGUGAAGGUAAGGUGAAGUGCUUCGGUAUGGAACUUUAUUGGAAAGUGGCGAACGGGUGAGUAACACGUGGGUGACCUGCCUCGGAGAGGGGGAUAACCAUUGGAAACGAUGGCUAAUACCGCAUGGUCCUGUUGGUAUGGGAAUAUCGGCGGGUAAAGCUCCGGUGCUUCGAGAGGGGCCUGCGCCCGAUUAGUUAGUUGGUGAGGUAACGGCUCACCAAGGCGAUGAUCGGUAGCUGGUCUGAGAGGACGAUCAGUCACACGGGAACUGAGACACGGUCCCGACUCCUACGGGGGGCAGCAGUGAGGAAUAUUGCACAAUGGGGGCAACCCUGAUGCAGCAACGUCGCGUGGAGGAUGAAGGUCUUUGGAUUGUAAACUCCUUUUUUCGGGGAAGAGGAAGGACGGUACCCGGAGAAUAAGUCACGGCUAACUACGUGCCAGCAGCCGCGGUAAUACGUAGGUGGCGAGCGUUAUCCGGAAUUACUGGGCGUAAAGGGCACGCAGGCGGCCUGAUAAGUCUGACGUGAAAGCUCCUGGCUUAACUGGGAGAGGUCGUUGGAAACUGUGAGGCUUGAGGCAAUGAGAGGGGUG
rnacentral:rRNA from 1 species